UGGCACAGGACCAGGGGGGUGGCGACUGUUUAGCAAAAACACAGGGCUCUGCGAAGUCGACGAGACGACGUAUAGGGGUCUGACGCCUGCCCGGUGCCGGAAGGUUAAGAGGAGGGGUUCACGCUCUGAAUCGAAGCCCCGGUAAACGGCGGCCGUAACGAUAACGGCCUAAGGUAGCGAAAUUCCUUGUCGGGUAAGUUCCGACCUGCACGAAUGGGCGUAACGACUUCCCCCGCUGUCUCCAACAUCGGCUCAGCGAAAUUGAAUUCUCCGUGAAGAUGCGGAGUACCCGCGGUCAGACGGAAAGACCCCGUGCACCUUUUACUACAGCUUUGCAGUGGUAUCGGCGAGUGGAUGUGUAGGAUAGGCGGGAGCCUAUGAAGCGGCGGCGCCAGCUGUCGUGGAGGUACCCUUGAAAUACCGCCCUUCCCCUUAUCGAUAUCUAACCGUGGCCCGUUAUCCGGGGUCCGGGGUACCCUGCAUGGCGGGU
rnacentral:rRNA from 1 species